rnacentral:rRNA from 1 species
UACGUAGGGGGCAAGCGUUGUCCGGAAUCAUUGGGCGUAAAGCGCGUGUAGGCGGUUCGGUAAGUCUGCUGUGAAAGUCCAGGGCUCAACCCUGGAAAGCCGGUGGAAACUGUCGAGCUAGAGUCCGGAAGAGGCGAGUGGAAUUCCUGGUGUAGCGGUGAAAUGCGCAGAUAUCAGGAGGAACACCGAUGGCGAAGGCAGCUCGCUGGGACGGUACUGACGCUGAGGCACGAAAGCCAGGGGAGCAAACGGG